ACAAUACAUUGUGAUUGGCAAAUGCUGUUUCCUAAACAAUGUCAUAUCAACCAAUGAUGUAAGUCUAUUUUCAUUUUAGGGUACGAACAUCAAAAUUACCAAAUUCUUUUGCUUCUAGAAUGGCAAGUUUUUUAAUACCAAAAAGACUGAUUCAGGAAAUUGAAAUAUAAAACCUUUUUUCCCAUUUACAUAUAACAUGUCAAUUAGAUUUUCAUCAAAUUCAAAUGAAUUCCACAAAUGUGUUUUUUAUUAGUUUUUUUCUAGUAAUAUUUAAACAGAGCAUAUAUAGAAAAUUAUUACUGGUAUUUUCAAGCCUGAUAUGUAUUUAUGUAUAUACAAAAACAAAUUAUAUUAAAUUUCUCUUCAUGCUUAUAUUUUGUAUAGAGAUAGUUUAAGUUUUUUUUUUAUUGGAUUCCAUGUUUGUUCGGGUUAACCUAGAUUAUAAUAGUGUUGAAUUGAUGGAAAUAGAAGGAAACAAUACUGUGGUUCCAAUGACAAUAAAAGUCAUUUAUUUCUUGAAGUAAACAUGAAAGAUUUUUGUGAUCAGAUAGUCGAUAUAUAUAUUUUUCAUAGCAUGGUGAAUUACAGUAGUACAAAAAUAAGAUCUGUUGACAAACAGUCAUUUUGAAAUAUCACUUUAUUUUUGACAAUCAUUUCCAGGUUUUUCUGGUAGUCUUGAAAAGUUUGUUUUUUUGCUACAUAUACUAUAGAUGAUGGCAUUGUACAAGAAAAAAACUAAUGCAAGCAUAUAUAAUACAUGAGUAUUGCAAUACUGUUUUGAUUGGUAUAAUAUACUAUUUAAAAUCAUUCCCGGUGUCAACAAAUUGGUUAACUUUCUUGUAGCAACUGAAUUAUUUGUACCAAAAAUCACACGUUUAAAAUAUCUUUUCGUGAUAGGAUUCAAAGAAAAUUGAUAAAUUGGUACUAUGUGCCCUUAUUGAUUUUAUUUAAUGUGGAUUCUUGCAUUAUCUAAGAUUGAGGAAAACUUGCAUUUUCGUGGAUAUUUUAUUGUCAUGGUUUUGCCCUGGUCAUCAUACAAGCCUAUAGAAAUGUUAAACAUCUAAGUACGUCGUUAACACAUACCUACAAAAUCCACAAAAAUAGGUAUUCCAAGAAUAAUAAUGAAUCCACAGUAUCAUGUUUGUUUUUAAAAAAAAAAUAUUUGUACAGCAGUUUUGAGAAAAAUCUGUAUGUGCUAGUAUUUCAACACAUAUUGAUAAAUAAUAAUGUUCAUACUUUCAUAUCAGCUGUGAAUAACAUUAUAGUUUCUGCAAGUAUUUGAAUCUAUACCAGUGAAUUUGUUAACGAAUUUAAAAAAUUUAUAAAUCAUUGUUUGUACAUAAAACAUUAUAUAUUUAUUGAAUAUUUACAUCGUUAUUGUUUUAUUUGUUUUUUUUGUAAUGCUAUUGUAUGAAUAUAUAUUUGUUAUAUAAAGUGUUGUGAUAUAAUUGAAAUGAGAAUUUCAAUUUAUAGCUAUAUAGCUAUAUAUAGUGCCCUCUCUUACCCGGUGUAUAUAAGAAGAUUGACCAAUAGAUAUAUUUGACAUAAAAUAGCAGUGUUCUGCUUUACAAUUGAUUGGGUGUUAAAAUAUUUUCUUAUUUGUAUCAAUAACAAUCUGUGCAUCUUACAAGUGCAUUCUAUAAUAGUUACAUUGCAUGUAUGUUUCAUUAUGUUAUAUUAUUUUGAUUGGCUAACAGCAAUAUCACGUCCUUCUGAAAUUGCCAUUCAUUACACAAUGAAGUUUAACAUCCGUGAUGACACAAUGUCCCCCAAUUAAGUGCACAGGUAAAAUUAAAUAAAAACUUGAUAGAAAAAGUAAUUAUAAGUAUUGAAUGCUUCUUUUUGAAAUUUCAUAGGGUUUUUAAAUCUUUGAAUGUGCGCACAUUUUUAGAAUGAUCUUCGGUCAAAAAGAAGCAUUCAAUUCUUAGAUGAAAUUAUUUUGAAUUUAACACUAAUAUGGCAACACUAGGCUAGCUUACGACAGCCUAAUGUCUGUCUGUGAGUCCUUCCUGUUGAACAUUAACCUUAUAAGAAUGCACUUUAUAUAUAAUGUACAUGUGUAAAAUGUUGUGUGUUCUCAGCCACUGCAGAUCAUAAUUCUAAAGAGAACAAAAUUUCAUGAAAAUUAUUUUAUAAAAUAUGCUCAGAUUUGUCUUUUUUUCUUUUUUAUCGAUUUAUAAAGCUAUUUCUUUUUUUCAUUUUGGUGCAAAUCAUAAGUAUUACUUUUAAUCAUUUAAGGAAGCAAGGGUAUUAGAUAUUAACGGUUCUUAUGGGGGAUUCUUUUAGUUAUACAUGUAUCAUAUUUUAAAACUUUAUGGCUUUCUUGACUUUGAUAAAUACUGUUCUAGCAAUUUAAUUCUUUAAAUACACAAGAGUAAUAGACACAGGAAAUAUCUUUUUACUUAUAAGACUUGAAAGUCUUAUGCUUCUUCUUUUCUUUGUAUGUGCUUCAUCUUAAUUGUAAAACCUCUAUUUUGAGGGUAAUAGGGUUAAUAUGCUUAUGCUUUGGUCAGAUAUAUGUUACCUAAUUGCUCAUCUUGUUGUGUAUUGUAAAGGUAGUUAUUGUCCAUGAGAGCUUUGUAUUAUAAAAAGUCUCACAAACUUUGAAAUAGUCUCUAAUUUGACAUCCCUCAUCUGAGACUGCAUCAGAUAUUCAGACAUCUGCUAGAAGGCAAGUAGAUGAUGCCACCCUGAAGCCAGCUAUAGCCAAAGGUCAACACAUUGUUCUGUUAUUAGGCAGCUUAAAUCAUGUUUUUGUCAUGACAUUUGACAUUUUAUGUGUGAGCUUCAAAGUACAAUUUGUGAGAUAAAUUUGUAUCAUUUUAUCAUAAUGCAUUAGACAUGGAUGAAAGGUUUUAUUGAAAAGACUUAUGCUAUACAUGUUUAUUCCAUUUGGACCAUUUCAACACUUAAUGUCUUGAUUGAUUGAAAUGUAUGGAACAAAAAUUAUUGAUUACAAGUAAAUUAUCUAAAGCCACUGAAUUCAGAGGAAAAGAUAUGACAUUCUUUAACAUGACUUUAUGUUUUUACACACAGACUGUUUAUACAAUAUUAGAAUAAAAUUAUAUUUUUUAUUCAUGAAAAUUAUUUUUCACUAUUGUUGAAAUAUUACAUUGCUUCUGACAGAAUUUAUCAUAUUUUAUAAGGGAAGGCCUACUGGUUGACAAAGAGGGGACCAGCUCCAGUCAUGCUUCAGUGAUUCCAUAAAUCAACAUUUUUUUCCCACAAUAGGGGGAGGUGGAGGGCUCUCCUCCCCCUAACUCUGCUUUUAAAAUUCAUCUUUCUGCCACCAUUUUAAAAGAUUGCAAUAUAUGUACUAAAUGUAGAUCAGACAAUGAUUUAAUUUUUUUUCUGUAAUCUCAAUUUUUUUCUGUUAUAUAUGAUUAUCUCCAGAUUUUAUAAUGUGUUAAGAUGGAUUAUCCUUUAGUCCAUGAUUCUAUCCAAUCAGGGUUUUCAUCUUCCCUUUUGAAAGGUAAAUUUACACCAUUUAAUCAUGUAGUAACUUUAGACAUUAUUGUUUGUACGACACAUGACAACAACGAAAGAAGAUACUAGUGGUUGAGGCCUUCAUUUAAUUGUUAUGUGAUAUUGUAACUCAAUUUGUUUGUUAAUGUAUUUGUGAUUUGAAAUGAAAUAAAUGUUAUUUAAUGUU